ACGAACGCUGGCGGCGUGCUUAACACAUGCAGGUCGAACGGUAAGGCCCUUUCGGGGGUACACGAGUGGCGAACGGGUGAGUAACACGUGGGUGAUCUGCCCUGCACUUUGGGAUAAGCCUGGGAAACUGGGUCUAAUACCGGAUAGGACUACGCGAUGCAUGUCGUGUGGUGGAAAGCUUUUGCGGUGUGGGAUGGGCCCGCGGCCUAUCAGCUUGUUGGUGGGGUGAUGGCCUACCAAGGCGACGACGGGUAGCCGGCCUGAGAGGGUGUCCGGCCACACUGGGACUGAGAUACGGCCCAGACUCCUACGGGAGGCAGCAGUGGGGAAUAUUGCACAAUGGGCGCAAGCCUGAUGCAGCGACGCCGCGUGGGGGAUGACGGCCUUCGGGUUGUAAACCCCUUUCAGCACAGACGAAGCGUAAGUGACGGUAUGUGCAGAAGAAGCACCGGCCAACUACGUG
rnacentral:rRNA from 1 species